rnacentral:rRNA from 1 species
GAUGAACGCUAGCGAUAGGCUUAACACAUGCAAGUCGAGGGGCAGCAUGGUCUUAGCUUGCUAAGGCUGAUGGCGACCGGCGUAAGGGUGCGUAACGCGUAUGUAACUUGCCUUUGAGAGGGGGAUAACCUGGGGAAACCCAGGCUAAUACCGCAUACGUCCUACGGGAGAAAGCAGGGGCUCUUCGGACCUUGCGCUAUCGGAUGAGCCUAUGUCGGAUUAGCUGGUUGGUGAGGUAAUGGCUCACCAAGGCGACGAUCCGUAGCUAGUCUGAGAGGAUGAUCAGCCACAUCGGGACUGAGACACGGCCCGA